UAAAAUACAUAGAUCUAUACAGUCAUCUUGUCAUCCUUAGAUUGAUUCAAACUACCCAAUAACCAACGCUAAAAGAUAUUAACAAAAGUUGAAACAAAGUAUUACAAUAAGAUCAAAAUUCCUAUUCCAUAAAUAUAUAUAUUUCAUUCAUUCUAGUAGCAAUAAGAUGUAAAAAUCAUUUACAUUGUUAUUACAUUUAAUUCACUUAAAUCAAGAGGGAAAUAGAAUUG
rnacentral:misc_RNA from 1 species